GGCUUUUUCAAGAAAAGAUUCAGGGCUCCUGUGAGGUGUUGAAGGCAGAGCAGAAACCUAAGUGGGAAUUUCCUUGUGCUCUUACUACACGCUCUUGCUACUCAGGGCCUGAUUGUCGGGUUUGAGGGACCUACGACAUCGGCUGAUGGCAUCCCCCUCCUCUGCUCUCAUCUUGUGUCAAACAGCAGCUGUAACUAUUGGCCCUUCCUAUGAGGCUCUGUAUGUGUUAUGUCUGGGAGAACACCUCGGAGUUUGUGGAGAAGAUGUUCUGCAGAUGCAGACAGAAUAGGAAAAACAAACUGCUGGCUGCCCAGAGGAAAUCAGCAGCUUUCUGGUAUCGGAGAAGCCCUUCUGAGGCACUCCUGCUCUUCUGCGCAGGUCUUCUGCUGGAAUACAUCUCUGUAGGAGCCCGAGGUACAGGUGAGGGCCACACCACAGGGCAGCAUCUGCCUUGUCCACACUGGGUAAGGCUGACUGAAAACCAGUGCAUAGGAUGGUCAGGCUAGGAAUGACUUCUGUUGGGAAACAAAAAAAGUAUUGUGGCGAAGCUGGCUCAAUAAAUUAUGUGCAGUGGAGUUAAUGCAGGUGUGCUUUCUUGGCCAGGGCUUUACGUGGAGCAGGCAUGGGACUCAAGUAGCGACUCUGAGGCAGGGAAAUUUGAGAUUAGUGGUACUGCCUUCAGCAGAAAACUGAUUAUUUGGAAUUAAUGUUAAUAAAUCUAGCUUUCUUUUCCUAUACUUACUCCCUCUCUGCCACCCCUUCCACAAAGACUCCCUGCGUGCCGCUGGCCGAUUACGGUAGCCAACACAAAACGAAACCUCUCUCCUUUUCUGUGUGUCACGUACAUCCAACGAUACAAAACCCCUGUGUCUUUUGCCACGGCUGACAUGCCAGUCAGCGCUAGCAAUCUUCACUUGGCAAGAAUUUCCAUGUGAAAGGAAUAUUCUGAAGAAAGCCUGUGGGCCGGAGCCAAGGUAAAAGCUCCUCACUCCUCUCGCAAAUGCUGCUUUUCCAGUGUGAAAGUGCGAGGCUCUGCCCCACAGCCGCCGUUCCCAUGGAUUUGCCCCAGGUUGAAGCUUGUCAUCUUCACAGCAGGAGCAGGACCGGGGUUUUGCAGUGGGAUGCGGAGCGCCAACAGCACAAACAUUGUUUCUUUGAGACAAAAGAAAAAAAAAAAGGGCUGAAACUUCAGGCAAUCAUUCCUCUCCAGUGCCAACAGUCCUCAAACAUGUCACUGUGGUGUGUUAGGAUCCUUCAAGGGGGCAGAAAUGCCAGGUAGCCAAGGGCGGCUCAGCCUAGCAGGGAAAGAUGUAAUCACAGGCAGUGGCUGUGAGCUAAAUCCAGGUGAUUUAAAAUAAGAAGCAAGGUACACGCUUUAAACAGUUACCCACUGCAAUGAACCACCGAAGGAUGAAGCCGGGCUCCUUGCUUGCUUUGUUUUGCUUUAACUCCUCAGACCAAGGGUAGACGCCCCUCUCUGUGCCAGUCAUUGAGCCUGAAAGGAAAGCAGGCCUGAGGGGACUGAGUGAGUUGCCAACAUCCUCACGCCACAAAAGAACACGUAAAGCCAGGGUUUCAGCAAAAAUAUUGGAAAUGACUGGUAUUGGUGCCGCUACACUUGUGCCAUCAGCAGGAUUUGGGACCUUGCCACCUCGUCCUGACCCGUGCCACAGACAGCAGGGAGGCUGGGGUGCACUGGGCCGAGGGCUCUGUGGCAGGGACAGGUGGAGGAGAUGCUUCACAGAAGAUCCGUUCUGAAGAACAUUACUGUGAUUUUUCUCACAACCCCACACUUGCUUU